UUCAAUUACUAUAUCAUAACUAUACCGGUAUUAUUAAGCGUUUGUCGCAAUCAGUAGUUCAUUGUGACCCCUUUUAACGUGAUACAUUAUAAUUCCUAAACGACUGCAAGAAAAAUUCAGGAAUUUAAGUGCGUGAUAGAAAGAUCUGAAGAUAAACUUAUCUAUUAUACUCAAAAUGAAUGCUGAACUCAAAAAAAAGGCUACGAUAGAGGAAGGGUUUUGUCAUGACGACGCCGAUUGUUCUGCACAACAAUAUUGUUAUCGUGUAUCUGAACGAUGCGUUGAUUACACUCAAUGUAGCAGAUACAAUCGGCAAGAAAAUCGGGAUAAGAGAUCGCGACAUCCUUCUCAGUGCGGACCAUGUUUUUCUGGUUACACGGCCGAAGAACUAGGUACAGGUGAAAUGGCGUGGGUGUGCAAGAAGGCAAAUAUCCAAAACGAUGUCCCUGAUGUAGGAAAAUUAAACAUUAACACAAUCAUCAUAUGGACAACAAUUAGCGGUGUCCUAUUCGUUUCUUUAUUAGUUAUGCUUGUUGGUCUAUACGUUAGGAGAAGAGCGUCAAAAAGACGAAAUAGUAAGCCGGAACAAUGUGGCGACCUUAGUAUGAUGGAACCAAGUGCUCCACCAGUUGAAAAUAGCCCAUUUAUUAGUCAUGGAAAAGAACUACAACACAUACCAUUCAAUAAUAAUAAAAAUUUCAAGGAUAAUAACAACCUUGUUUGCGCGUCCGGUUUUAAGCCACCGAGCUGGAUACGUACGAAUCCCAAUUACGAUAAUAAUUUAAACAACGAGAAUAUGACUACAACGGGUCAGUUGCAAUCUGUAGUUGAAAUAACUCCUACUGAUGUUCAGUCGAAUACUUGGCAACAAGACCAGUUAACGGUAGAGAUUACUAACGGCAACCUGAUCCAAUAUGAGGUAGAACAAGUAGACAAUAACACGAAUACAGUUUUACUACAGACCAAUAACCCUUCUUCAUCUAAUACAAAUGACGAAGAAGAUAAUAACAAUACCAGCAAUAACUCGGAUUCGAGCAAUGCUCAUGAAGAUAGAGAGCGUGUACGGACGUCGAACAUUUUAAUCUCUCCAAAAAUAUCUAUGAAUGUAAAUUUGCUCAACAUUGAUUGAUGAUCUCAAAAAAUAUGAAUAUUUGUAAUUGAAUGUUGCAUCAAGCAAAUGCCCGACGAGAGAGAAAUGAGAAAAUUUACUUGUCUUGAUUAUAAUGACUUACCAUUAUUAAAAAGGUGAAUAAAAAGUCUUUUUAUGUAAUGGAAAAAACGUAUGUUGCAGUAAUAUAAAUUCUGCUCGUUAUUAUUAAUUGUUAUAAUUUGAUAUCAAUAGUUCGUUAAAGAUUUUUAAACUUAACAUAUCGUUGUUAUAUUCUUAUCAUAGAGUAAGCUAUAAAAGGACUAUUUUUUCUGUAUUGAAAAUAUAAUAUUUCUGCAUAAUUAAUGUGCUCGAUAAUAACUAUAUCAACAAUUACUUUGAUAUUAAAGAGUGCUCAAUAUUUUACAAACACAUAAUAGUGUUUGUAAAUCUUAAAUAGAAAUGUGAUAGGUUUAUAGAUAAUCUUUUGUUAACUACCAGUAUUUAUAAUAUCAUAAAUCAAUGAUCUGUGUCAAAAUUUACAAUGUUUGACGAACAUUUAAAUAAAUAUUUUUUUAAAUAGGUGAAAUGAAACAAAAUUGUAAAAUUUUGUUAUCAUGUUUAACUGUAUAGUGCAUAUUACAUUCAUAUUAGGUAUAUCUUUAUAUGUACUGUUAUCUUUGCAUUACAUCUUCAAUAUGAAACUAUAGCCUUAUAUAUUUUGUACUUAUGUGCCAUUAUAGUUUCAGACAUUUCAUAUAGUAACUAAAUAUCAGUUUAUGAAUCUUAAAUUUGAUCUUUGAUAUUUAAAAUACUUUUUUAUAAGAAAAGUGCUUUCAUUAUGUUAUAAUGUUAUAUACUUCUACUAUUGUAUACUAUUAAUAAAAAAAUUUGAUUGAUAA